rnacentral:rRNA from 1 species
GACGAACGCUGGCGGCGUGCCUAAUACAUGCAAGUUGAGCGCUGAAGGUUGGUACUUGUACCAACUGGAUGAGCAGCGAACGGGUGAGUAACGCGUGGGGAAUCUGCCUUUGAGCGGGGGACAACAUUUGGAAACGAAUGCUAAUACCGCAUAAAAACUUUAAACACAAGUUUUAAGUUUGAAAGAUGCAAUUGCAUCACUCAAGGAUGAUCCCGCGUUGUAUUAGCUAGUUGGUGAGGUAAAGGCUCACCAAGGCGAUGAUACAUAGCCGACCUGAGAGGGUGAUCGGCCACAUUGGGACUGAGACACGGCCCAAACUCCUACGGGAGGCAGCAGUAGGGAAUCUUCGGCAAUGGACGAAAGUCUGACCGAGCAACGCCGCGUGAGUGAAGAAGGUUUUCGGAUCGUAAAACUCUGUUGGUAGAGAAGAACGUUGGUGAGAGUGGAAAGCUCAUCAAGUGACGGUAACUACCCAGAAAGGGACGGCUAACUACGU